AUGACGUCAAAUCAUCAUGCCCCUAUGACCUGGGCUACAAACGUGAUACAAUGGCUGAAACAAAGGGCAGCGAAGCAGUGAUGUGGAGCGAAACCCAAAAAAGCAGUCUCAGUUCGGAUUGAAGUCUGCAACUCGACUUCAUGAAGUUGGAAUCGCUAGUAAUCGUAGAUCAGAACGCUACGGUGAAUACGUUCUCGGGGUUU
rnacentral:rRNA from 1 species